UACGUAGGGUGCGAGCGUUAAUCGGAAUUACUGGGCGUAAAGCGUGCGCAGGCGGUUCGUUGUGUCGGCGGUGAAAGCCCCGGGCUUAACCUGGGAAUGGCCGUCGAAACUGGCGAACUGGAGUGUGGCAGAGGGGGGUGGAAUUCCGCGUGUAGCAGUGAAAUGCGUAGAGAUGCGGCGGAACACCGAUGGCGAAGGCAGCCCCCUGGGCUGAGAUUGACGCUCAGGCACGAAAGCGUGGGGAGCAAACAGG
rnacentral:rRNA from 1 species